rnacentral:rRNA from 1 species
UACGAAGGGUGCAAGCGUUACUCGGAAUUACUGGGCGUAAAGCGUGCGUAGGUGGUUUGUUAAGUCUGAUGUGAAAGCCCUGGGCUCAACCUGGGAACGGCAUUGGAAACUGGCUUACUAGAGUGCGGUAGAGGGGUGUGGAAUUCCCGGUGUAGCAGUGGAAAUGCGUAGAUAUCGGGAGGAACAUCUGUGGCGAAGGCGACACCUGGACCAGCACUGACACUGAGGCACGAAAGCGUGGGGAGCAAACAGG